rnacentral:misc_RNA from 1 species
GAACCUUCAAGCUUUGCUUGGUGAUGGGCGUUUGUCCUUGUCCUUUGUACGUGGACUCGCCUUAAAAUUAUUGGCAGCCGGCAUGUAGGCCUUUGGAGCGCAGCACAUUUUGCGAUCUAAGCCUAGGUUCUGGUAAUCCAUUAAGCUCAAUUAUCAC